rnacentral:rRNA from 1 species
UUGACCUCGGAUCAGGUAGGAAUACCCGCUGAACUUAAGCAUAUCAAUAAGCGGAGGAAAAGAAACCAACAGGGAUUGCCCUAGUAACGGCGAGUGAAGCGGCAACAGCUCAAAUUUGAAAUCUGGCUCUCGGGCCCGAGUUGUAAUUUGUAGAGGAUACUUUUGAUGCGGUGCCUUCCGAGUUCCCUGGAACGGGACGCCAUAGAGGGUGAGAGCCCCGUCUGGUUGGAUGCCAAAUCUCUGUAAAGUUCCUUCAACGAGUCGAGUAGUUUGGGAAUGCUGCUCUAAAUGGGAGGUAUAUGUCUUCUAAAGCUAAAUACCGGCCAGAGACCGAUAGCGCACAAGUAGAGUGAUCGAAAGAUGAAAAGCACUUUGAAAAGAGAGUUAAAAAGUACGUGAAAUUGUUGAAAGGGAAGCGUUUAUGACCAGACUUGGGCUUGGUUAAUCAUCUGGGGUUCUCCCCAGUGCACUUUUCCAGUCCAGGCCAGCAUCAGUUUUCCCCGGGGGAUAAAGGCGGCGGGAAUGUGGCUCUCUUCGGGGAGUGUUAUAGCCC